UAUGUUUUUAGAUGAUCCGAGACCUGGGCCAUCAUGGAUGCCAGACGGUGCAGCCUAUAAUGGACUAAGUGUAUCCGUAAUGCCAAAGCCUGAACCAUCAUGGAAUCAAUUUGAAUAUAAUGCGUAUGGUGGGGAAUUCACAGCCAGUACGCCAUUGAGGGAGCCUAAUCUCGCUACAAACGGU